rnacentral:rRNA from 1 species
AAGUCUUCGGAUGGAAUCGAUAAGUUCUAGCGGCGGACGGGUGAGUAACGCGUGAGCAACCUGCCCUCCACAGGGGGAUAACGCACCGAAAGGUGUACUAAUACCGCAUAAGACCACGGGAUCACAUGGUUCUGGGGUAAAAGAUUUAUCGCUGAAAGAUGGCCUCGCGUCUGAUUAGCUAGAUGGGGUGGUAACGGCACACCAUGGCGACGAUCGGUAGCCGAACUGAGAGGUUGAUCGGCCACAUUGGGACUGAGAUACGGCCCAGACUCC